GAUGAACGCUGACAGAAUGCUUAACACAUGCAAGUCUACUUGAAUUUGGGUUUUUUAACUUAGAUUUGGGUGGCGGACGGGUGAGUAACGCGUAAAGAACUUGCCUCACAGCUAGGGACAACAUUUGGAAACGAAUGCUAAUACCUGAUAUUAUGAUUAUAAGGCAUCUUAGAAUUAUGAAAGCUAUAUGCGCUGUGAGAGAGCUUUGCGUCCCAUUAGCUAGUUGGAGGGGUAACGGCUCACAAAGGCGAUGAUGGGUAGCCGGCCUGAGAGGGUGAACGGCAACAAGGGGACUGAGACACGGCCCUAACUCCUACGGGAGGAAGCAGGGGGGAAUAUUGGACAAGGGACCAAGAGUCUGAUCCAGCAAUUCUGUGUGCAAGAUGACGUUUUUCGGAAUGUAAAGUGCUUUCAGUUGGGAAGAAAAAAAUGACGGUACCAACAGAAGAAGUGACGGCUAAAUACGUG
rnacentral:rRNA from 1 species